rnacentral:rRNA from 1 species
AUUGAACGCUGGCGGCAGGCCUAACACAUGCAAGUCGAACGGUAGCACAGAGAGCUUGCUCUCGGGUGACGAGUGGCGGACGGGUGAGUAACGUCUGGGAAACUGCCCGAUGGAGGGGGAUAACUACUGGAAACGGUAGCUAAUACCGCAUAACGUCGCAAGACCAAAGUGGGGGACCUUCGGGCCUCACACCAUCGGAUGUGCCCAGAUGGGAUUAGCUAGUAGGUGGGGUAAUGGCUCACCUAGGCGACGAUCCCUAGCUGGUCUGAGAGGAGGACCAGCCACACUGGAACUGAGACACGGUCCAGACUCCUACGGGAGGCAGCAGUGGGGAAUAUUGCACAAGGGGCGCAAGCCUGAUGCAGCCAUGCCGCGUGUAUGAAGAAGGCCUUCGGGUUGUAAAGUACUUUCAGCGGGGAGGAGGGCGGUGAAGUUAAUAACUUCACCGAUUGACGUUACCCGCAGAAGAAGCACCGGCUAACUCCGUGCCAGCAGCCGCCGUAA